ensembl:lncRNA
AGACGGAGCCCCAUCCAUCUAUCACACGUGUAGACAAAGGGGACACAACAGAGCUGGAUGUGUCCUUUCAAACUUUUUUUUAGCACGACGCAUGCAACGCGCACAGAUGAAAGUGACCACACUUCAGGUGAGUGGACACUCUUUCUGCUGUCAUUUUUGUUUGUUUGUUGCCAGUCUGAAGUUGCGACUGUAGUUGGUGCGUCAGCGCUCUAACUUGAGCACAAAGCUGGAGAGAGAGGGCGAGAGACGUAGAGAAAGAGUUGCAUCAAGGAGAGAGAGAGAGAAGCGGUCCCCUUUCCUUUGUCUGAUGCGGGGCGCUUUGAGGAGACAACUUGAGGGGAUGCUCGGACAUGCAUCUAUUUUGCUCCCAGUAAUGCAUAACUUUGGCUACUUUAAGUCACUUAAAAGUCUGCGUUAAUGGAGAUGAAGUUUGCGCCGGUGCCGUGUUUUUGUCUCCUGGGGAUGUUGCGACACAAGACAAAGCUUGUCAGAAGUUUGAAGAGAAAAGGAGCCUUUACGCACGCCAAAAAACAGACAACGAAUGCGUGGGAAAAUAAAGGAUUUACAGACGGAUUAACCACAGAAUCGUUUUCUUCCAUGGGUGGUGAAAAAAACCAAUAAAACACAGAUAUGUGUAAGUCACAUUGGAGAUGUACAGUCGCCUAUCAAGAGGCUUUUAAGACGAAGAGGAGGAUUAACACACUCUGCAGUUUUCUUCAGGAGAAGGUUAUCCAGGACUCCAAGGCCCGCUGGACGCCUCAAGCUUUUGCUGACUUCCAGGAUUCAUUCUGCUGAAAUCAUUGCUAGACUGAAGCUUGAUAGUGUGGCUACGAACACAAAAGUUGUAUUGGUCCUUUCUUCCAAGCCUUGGCAAAAGCAGGAGUUCGGGAGUGGUGAGGUCUGGGAGAUCAUGACCCUAAUUCUCUCCAAGACAGACGGUUUAAUUAACAGUAGAGGAGUCCUCAUCGACUGCAGACCUCUACAGUGA